rnacentral:rRNA from 1 species
CUGCCCUUCAGAGUUUGAUCCUGGCUCAGGACGAACGCUGGCGGCGUGCUUAACACAUGCAAGUCGAGCGGUAAGGCCCUUUCGGGGGUACACGAGCGGCGAACGGGUGAGUAACACGUGGGUGACCUGCCCUCCACUCUGGGAUAAGCCCGGGAAACUGGGUCUAAUACCGGAUAGGACCACUGAUCGCAUGGUUGGUGGUGGAAAGUUUUUUCGGUGGGGGAUGCGCCCGCGGCCUAUCAGCUUGUUGGUGGGGUGAUGGCCUACCAAGGCGGUGACGGGUAGCCGGCCUGAGAGGGCGACCGGCCACACUGGGACUGAGACACGGCCCAGACUCCUACGGGAGGCAGCAGUGGGGAAUAUUGCGCAAUGGGCGGAAGCCUGACGCAGCGACGCCGCGUGGGGGAUGACGGCCUUCGGGUUGUAAACCUCUUUCGCCAGGGACGAAGAGCAAUUGACGGUACCUGGAGAAGAAGCACCGGCCAACUACGUGCCAGCAGCCGCGGUAACACGUAGGGUGCGAGCGUUGUCCGGAAUUAUUGGGCGUAAAGAGCUCGUAGGCGGUGUGUCGCGUCGGCCGUGAAAACUUGGGGCUUAACUCUGAGCGUGCGGUCGAUACGGGCAUCACUUGAGUUCGGCAGGGGAGACUGGAAUUCCUGGUGUAGCGGUGAAAUGCGCAGAUAUCAGGAGGAACACCGGUGGCGAAGGCGGGUCUCUGGGCCCAUACUGACGCUGAGGAGCGAAAGCGUGGGGAGCGAACAGGAUUAGAUACCCUGGUAGUCCACGCCGUAAACGUUGGGCGCUAGGUGUGGGGACCAUUCCACGGUUUCUGUGCCGCAGCUAACGCAUUAAGCGCCCCGCCUGGGGAGUACGGCCGCAAGGCUAAAACUCAAAGGAAUUGACGGGGGCCCCCACAAGCGGCGGAGCAUGUGGAUUAAUUCGAUGCAACGCGAAGAACCUUACCUGGGUUUGACAUGCACCAGACAUCCCUAGAGAUAGGGCUUCCCUUGUGGUUGGUGUGCAGGUGGUGCAUGGCUGUCGUCAGCUCGUGUCGUGAGAUGUUGGGUUAAGUCCCGCAACGAGCGCAACCCUUAUUCCAUGUUGCCAGCACGUAAUGGUGGGGACUCAUGGGAGACUGCCGGGGUCAACUCGGAGGAAGGUGGGGAUGACGUCAAGUCAUCAUGCCCCUUAUGUCCAGGGCUUCACACAUGCUACAAUGGCUCAUACAGAGGGCUGCGAGACCGUGAGGUGGAGCGAAUCCCUUAAAGUGAGUCUCAGUUCGGAUCGGGGUCUGCAACUCGACCCCGUGAAGUUGGAGUCGCUAGUAAUCGCAGAUCAGCAACGCUGCGGUGAAUACGUUCCCGGGCCUUGUUCACACCGCCCGUCACGUCACGAAAGUUGGUAACACCCGAAGCCGGCGGCCCAACCCUUGUGGAGGGAGCUGUCGAAGGU